GGAAUUUUGGACAAUGGGCGCAAGCCUGAUCCAGCCAUUCCGCGUGCAGGAUGAAGGCCCUCGGGUUGUAAACUGCUUUUGUACGGAACGAAAAGGCUCUGGUUAAUACCUGGGGCUCAUGACGGUACCGUAAGAAUAAGCACCGGCUAACUACGUGCCAGCAGCCGCGGUAAUACGUAGGGUGCAAGCGUUAAUCGGAAUUACUGGGCGUAAAGCGUGCGCAGGCGGUCUUGUAAGACAGAGGUGAAAUCCCCGGGCUCAACCUGGGAACUGCCUUUGUGACUGCAAGGCUGGAGUACGGCAGAGGGGGAUGGAAUUCCGCGUGUAGCAGUGAAAUGCGUAGAUAUGCGGAGGAACACCGAUGGCGAAGGCAAUCCCCUGGGCCUGUACUGACGCUCAUGCACGAAAGCGUGGGGAGCAAACAGGAUUAGAUACCCUGGUAGUCCACGCCCUAAACGAUGUCAACUGGUUGUUGGGUCUUCACUGACUCAGUAACGAAGCUAACGCGUGAAGUUGACCGCCUGGGGAGUACGGCCGCAAGGUUGAA
rnacentral:rRNA from 1 species